ACAGCUACACAAAUCCACAUGUGAUACAAAUGGACUGAUCCAAUGAGAAAUGAUCCCAGCAAUUGUCAAAAGACCAAUAGAUAGGGCAACAAAAUACAAAACAGGAACUUUGAAUAUGACCAGCAUGGCAAAUAAAAUAGAAAUUUUGGAAAGAAUGGAAAGAAGAGGGAUUAAGAUCAUGGGACUAGCCGAUAUAAGACACAAAGAACAAGGAAAUUCAGAAAGGAUACUUAUCUACUAAGGAAGGGACGUAGCAAAAAAUAGAAUGGGCUGGGCAGAUUCAGAUAUAGCAAAAUGCAUCCUAGACAUUAACAACUAUUCAGACACAAUAUCAUCAUCAUCGCCAUUGUCUUUCCACUGCAGGAUGAAGGCCUCUUUCACAUGUUUCCAAUCAAUACAGUCUUGAGCUUUCUUUUGCCAAUUGGGCCCACAACACUUGCUGAUGUUAUUCGAUCCAUCUUUUAGGUUUCUUUCAUGGAAGGUUUUUAUCAAGUGGGAUCCAUUCUAUGACUGCCAUCAGUUCUUCUUGCUUCUUUCAUUUCAAUUCUUUUACUCUUUUGAUGAUAUUGUAUACUUUUGCUUGUUCUCUAAUCCAUGUGCAGGUCUUUCUGUCUUGUCUUCUAAUGCUGAAUAUAUAUCUUUCCAUGGCUGUUUUGCACCACUCAUAGCCUUUGUCUCAAUUGUGAGGUUAGUGUCAAUGUUUCAACAGCAUGUGUUAGAGCAGGUAGCACAAGCCGAUUGAAAAUUUCUGUCUUCAGUCAUGGGAGUAAAUUGUUUUUGAAAAUUGUGCUUAGCUUGCUAAAUACCCACCAACCACAUUUAACACACCAUUCAAUUUCCUUUAUAGUAUCACCUAAGAUCUAUCGGCCAAGUUUUAUGUAGUGGCUGACUACACCUACAGUAGGUCUCCAGUCAUUAAAAAAAUCCACUCUUUGGUGAAUUUAUUAAACAUAACCAGGCACUUUUUCAGGUUUAUUUUUAAGCCAAAUGAUUCUUCUGCUUUUGCAGCUCUUGUAUGCAUCUUUGUAGCUCUUCUGGAUCUUGUGAGAAGAAAAUAACAUCAUCUGCAAAUCUUAAGUGAUUUAAUUAGGCACCAUUAAUUUUUAUUUCUAUCUUUUGUCCAAUCUAGUUUGCAAAAUACUUUUUCAAGGCAGGCUGAGAAAAGGAUAGGUGAUAUUGUUGUACACCUCAUUCUAUGUUGAUUUCCACUAAGAUCAUUAUGGCAAAUUGUCACUAUUGUUUUUUCAUAUAGAUUGUAAUAAGUUUAUGUAAGCAGUGUCUAUGCCUUGGUUGAUCAAUUAAAUAUUGCUUGCUGAAAUACUUAGUCAAAAACCUUUUUGUAGUCAAUGAAAGCCACGCACAGAACAUGGGAUUUUCAUUUGCCCAUGUGUUGCUAAGAACAGUGUGAAAAGAAUGAGAAUGGGCAAAAGAUGCUAGAUUUACAUAGUGAACACCAUCUUUUUAUUACUAAUACCUUUUUUGAACAUUGAGACUCACGACAUAUAAAUUGAAUGAAAGCACUACUAAGUCAGGUCAAUUACACAUUAAGAAAAGUAAAAAGAAGAUACAGAACACUUGAUGCAAAA